GCCCUCCAGACUCUUUGCCCCUUUAGCCUAAAUACUGGCCUCAGUGGAUACAAAAGGAGGGAAAAUAAAACUGAAGUGGAUUUGGAGUCUUCCCGUAGCACACAAGUUCAUUCCAAACAAAA
rnacentral:snoRNA from 1 species